GAUUGAACGCUGGCGGCAGGCCUAACACAUGCAAGUCGAACGGUAACAGGAAGCAGCUUGCUGCUUCGCUGACGAGUGGCGGACGGGUGAGUAAUGUCUGGGAAACUGCCUGAUGGAGGGGGAUAACUACUGGAAACGGUGGCUAAUACCGCAUAACGUCGCAAGACCAAAGAGGGGGACCUUCGGGCCUCUUGCCAUCAGAUGUGCCCAGAUGGGAUUAGCUGGUAGGUGGGGUAACGGCUCACCUAGGCGACGAUCCCUAGCUGGUCUGAGAGGAUGACCAGCCACACUGGAACUGAGACACGGUCCAGACUCCUACGGGAGGCAGCAGUGGGGAAUAUUGCACAAUGGGCGCAAGCCUGAUGCAGCCAUGCCGCGUGUAUGAAGAAGGCCUUCGGGUUGUAAAGUACUUUCAGCGGGGAGGAAGGUGUUGUGGUUAAUAACCGCAGCAAUUGACGUUACCCGCAGAAGAAGCACCGGCUAACUCC
rnacentral:rRNA from 1 species